rnacentral:lncRNA from 12 species
CUUUUGGGGGGUGGGUGUAAAUUUAUAGUGUUUUCCUGAACUUUCCUUUCCUCUGACCCAUAGUCAUGCCGGCUCUGGAACAGAGAGGAAUUACAAGCUUCUCAGUGUUUCUAUGGAUUGCAGCCAUCCAUAUUCUCUGCGAAGGGUAUAUGGAAUAAAAGUGUGCAUUGCAGAGGCAGCUAAGUGAGCCAGAUAUAGCAAACUAAGGCAGAUAACGAUAUGGCCUCGGGCCCAACAUGGCUGAAGUCAUUCCUCCCUGACAAGAGUAAGGGCUCUUUUGCCCUUAAGGCCCUCAGUUCCACGGGGCUCCGGGCUGUCAUCCUCCUCUCCACAGACACGUGAGGUCAUUAAGAGAAAUGCUGAUGCCGUGCUAGGGGCCAUGAUCUUCCCUGCCACCUGGUUGCAGCUGACACAUGGAUGACAUUUCUUUGGUGUCAAAUCCCGGCAGAGCGUUGUCCUACCUGUCCCCAAAUCUGUGGGAAAUCAGCUCUUGGAAAGAAUUUAAUUGGUUCUACCUCCGUUCAGGGCUAUUUUGCAUAGAAUGUUUCACUCAUUUCCAAAGGGAGGAAACACAGAAAAUCAAGCAGACAGCCUUCAAGGCCCAGCAUUGGGAUAAAUGUAAAAAGGAGUUGUGUCAACGGUGGAGAAGAGGGCACUGGGUCUGAAAUCUGGCUUGGAGUCUGUCUUUCAGAACGGAGUGUUACGUCUGUGGGCCUUCGGAGGAUGAUGAACUUAAUUCCAUUGCUUUUCAGUGGUACUAUGGAAGAACAGCUGCUUGACUCCAUCUUCUUUAAAACUCCCAUCUCUGGCUUAGGUUGACAGGAUAACUGGUUUCUCUACCUGAUACCUCUCAUUCCAUAGAGAUGACCUAACCUUUACCCUAGUUGGAUAUCUGGACACUGCAUUGGCUCCUGGGCUGGGCCUGAUCCUGCUCUUCUUUAAGUCAUUUAAGAUGGAUUUCUCUGGAUACCUGUGCUCUGCCUCUACUUGAGCGUCUUGAGGUCUCACCCUGGCAGGCUCACUUCUCCAUGAGUGGGUGACACUUGUCUGCAGUGUGAGAGCUGAAACAAGAACGCAGAGCAUCACCUUGUUCAACCUCAACUGGAAAGACAGACACCAGGUGACUCAAGUUUUUCACAACUGUGAAUGUGUCUGUGAAUAACUGCGAAAGCAUUAUGUGUAUUGAUCGGGAUGGAGGAUUAUAAGUAACUUUAAUAAACAGGUGAAUUCACACA